GGGGGUAUAGCUCAGCUGGGAGAGCACUUGACUGGCAGUCAAGGGGUCGGGGGUUCAAAUCCCCCUACCUCCACCA
rnacentral:tRNA from 1 species